AAGGACUGGAACGUGAGACUCAUUUUCUAUUUACAUACAGAGCAGUGGAAGUACAACUUACAAGAGAAGAGGGCAGGCAAAAGGAAACACAAGCAGACCCAUAAGCAUACUGAAAUAAACAGGGACAUUGGAAACAAGAAGAGCAAUGAAGAAGAAGAAGAAGAAGAAGAAGAAGAACGCAAAGAUUUUCAGCGCUUGGACGUUCUCCACUAUAAACAGGAAUACUGGUGCAGUAGCCUUGUAGUGCUGUGGGUUUGACCCGGUGUAACUCGGUUGAAGAGAUUUGGGUCUCAGGUCCUCUUUUAAGGAAUAGUUCCUUAUUUUUCCCUUCACUGUCUGGUUCUGAUAUUGGCAUGAACAGGCUCAAUCUUAGGCAAUGAUCAAUGUAAUAUGGUACAUUUUACUAUGAUAAACUAGUUAUCUGAUACAUCAAUCAACUUUGCUAAAUAAGGUAGUCAGAAAUAAAACAGGCAUUACUUGGUAUUA